UCCCCAAACUCCUCCAGUCACACAAAUGUAUGGAUCCUUUUUGUUAGGUAUGUCUUUGUAUAUGGCUGCAUAUUGUGUUUGUGGAAAUGUACAAGUAACUAUGUCACAGUAAUCAAAGGUGUAUGUGGCUACAUCAGUAUUAGAAAAAUUGUACCAGAAAGUGUAAACGUGAUUAUCUUUGGUUAUGGCCACUUGUUGGGCCCAGGCAAAGUGUAGCAGCAUAAGAAAACACAAGACACAUAAUAAAUUCAUAUUUCAACAGGAUCAGCUUCUUCUGGAGCAGGCACUUUUUUGCAAUGUGAAGCGUGUAUCCAAGAACUCUUUCCAGCUAGUUUAACUGACGUUGCUGUAAUCAGGAGCACUUGGUAAGGACCAUCAAAUCUUGGUUCUAGGGUGUGUUUUCUGAGAAACUUCUUGACCAUAACCCAGUCACCCGGAAGCAGCUUGUGUGUACCUGUAUUCGACUCAGGAUCUGGAAUAGAAGAAAACACUUGGGCAUGUAUCUUGGUCAAGGCAUGUGAGAGGGCAGUCACAUAGUCUACCAUAGCAUCUGACUGAAUCUGAAGCUGUUGGGGAAAGUAGCAACCUAACCUGGGUGCUGUACCAAACAAAAUCUCAUAAGGUGACAAGCUAUAUUUUCCUCUGGGAGUGUACCUUACACUAAACAACGCUAGUGGGAGACUCUCGGGCCAGGGCAUGUUAGUUUCUUGUGACAUCUUAAGCAUUCUGGCUUUCAAAGUGCCAUUCAUGCGUUCUACCUUACCGCUACUUUGUGGGUGGUAUGGUGUGUGGAAUGCAAGGGUCACCCCCGGUGCUGACCAGACUUCCCGUGUUAGCGAGGCAGUGAAGGAGGU
rnacentral:lncRNA from 1 species